GGGAGGCCGAGUGCUUCAGCGGGACUUCCGGCAGGAGAGGUGCCCACAAAGGCCAGAACUGUUUCCUACGUGAGACACUUUCCCUCCCACCUCUCCUCUACAGCCUGUAGAUUUAAGUGAAAUUAAUACUGGACAGACCAUCAGUCAUUAUCUGUGGGCACUAGAAAACAGAUCACUUUCUCUAAGGGAAGCAAGUGUCAUGUAUAAAGAUGUUCACGUGAUGAGGAACUGAGGCUUCCAGCCCACAGCCACGUAAGCCAUCUUGGAAGUGGACCCUCCAGCCCACCAGGCCUCCAGAAGACAGAAACCCUAACUGACAUCAUCACUGCAACUUCCUGAAAGAUCCUGAACCACAACCAUCUAACAAAGCUGCUCCCAGAUUCUUCAUCCAUAGACAG